rnacentral:rRNA from 1 species
AAAGCUCAAAUUUGAAAUCUGGCGCCUUCGGUGUCCGAGUUGUGAUUUGAAGAUUGUAACCUUGGGGUUGGCUCUUGUCUAUGUUUCUUGGAACAGGACGUCACAGAGGGUGAGAAUCCCGUGCGAUGAGAUGCCCAAUUCUAUGUAAGGUGCUUUCUAAGAGUCGAGUUGUUUGGGAAUGCAUGCUCUUAGUGGGGGGUGAAUUCCAUCUAAAGCUAAAUAUUGUCGAGAGACCGAUAGCGAACAAGUACAGCGAUGGAAAGAUGAAAAGAACUUUGAAAAGAGAGUGAAAAAGUACGUGAAAUUGUUGAAAGGGAAGGGUUUGAGAUCAGACUCCAUAUUUUGUGAGCCUUGCCUUCGUGGCGGGGUGACCCGCAUCUUAUCGGGCCAGCAUCGGUUUGGGCGGUAGGAUAAUGGCGUAAGAAUGUGACUUUACUUCGGUGAACUGUUAAGCCUGCGUUGAUGCUGCCUGCCUGACCGAGGACUGCGAUUUUCUUUGGAUGCUGGCAUAAUGAUCCCAAUGGCCCGAUU